rnacentral:rRNA from 1 species
AGGACGAACGCUGGCGGCGUGCUUAACACAUGCAAGUCGAGCGGUAAGGCCUUUCGGGGUACACGAGCGGCGAACGGGUGAGUAACACGUGGGUGAUCUGCCCUGCACUUCGGGAUAAGCCUGGGAAACUGGGUCUAAUACCGGAUAUGACCUCAGGUUGCAUGACUUGGGGUGGAAAGAUUUAUCGGUGCAGGAUGGGCCCGCGGCCUAUCAGCUUGUUGGUGGGGUAAUGGCCUACCAAGGCGACGACGGGUAGCCGACCUGAGAGGGUGACCGGCCACACUGGGACUGAGACACGGCCCAGACUCCUACGGGAGGCAGCAGUGGGGAAUAUUGCACAAUGGGCGAAAGCCUGAUGCAGCGACGCCGCGUGAGGAUGACGGCCUUCGGUUGUAACCUCUUCUAGCAGGACGAAGCGCAAGUGACGGUACCUGCAGAAGAAGCACCGGACUAACUACGUGCCAGCAGCCGC